AACGAACGCUGGCGGCAGGCCUAACACAUGCAAGUCGAGCGAGGACUUCGGUCCUAGCGGCGGACGGGUGAGUAACGCGUGGGAACGUGCCCCUUUCUACGGAAUAGCCCCGGGAAACUGGGAGUAAUACCGUAUAAGCCCUACGGGGGAAAGAUUUAUCGGGAAGGGAUCGGCCCGCGUUGGAUUAGGUAGUUGGUGGGGUAAUGGCCUACCAAGCCGACGAUCCAUAGCUGGUUUGAGAGGAUGAUCAGCCACACUGGGACUGAGACACGGCCCAGACUCCUACGGGAGGCAGCAGUGGGGAAUCUUAGACAAUGGGCGCAAGCCUGAUCUAGCCAUGCCGCGUGAGCGAUGAAGGCCUUAGGGUUGUAAAGCUCUUUCAGGGGGGAAGAUAAUGACUGUACCCCCAGAAGAAGCCCCGGCUAACUCCGUG
rnacentral:rRNA from 1 species